AGAUAGCCAUGGUGCCUACACACUCUUUGAUGGGACCUUUUAGAGGACACAUGAGUCUCAAAAGUAGCCCUUUUUCUCCUGGACCUUCCCACAAGCUCUCCAGCCAGUACAUCAUUCAAGACCACAUGUCUACCCAUUUCAAGAAACUGAUGUCUGCCAAAGCUGCUGUUGAUUCAUCUGCACCAAGGAGUUUGCAUACCAGCAUUAAAU